CCUACGGGGUGCAGCAGUGGGGGAUAUUGCACAAUGGGGGGAACCCUGAUCCAGCGACGCCGCGUGAGUGAAGAAGUAUUUCGGUACGUAAAGCUCUGUCAGCAGGGAAGAAAGUAAUGACGGUACCUGACCAAGAAGCCCCGGCUAACUACGGGCCAGCAGCCGCGGUAAUACGUAGGGGGCAAGCGUUAGCCGGAAUUACUGGGGGAAAAGGGAGCGUAGACGGUUAAGUAAGUCUGGAGUGAAAGGCCGGGGCCCAACCCCGGGACUGCUCUGGAAACUAGUGAACUUGAGUGCAGGAGAGGUAAGCGGAAUUCCUAGUGUAGCGGUGAAAUGCGUAGAUAUUAGGAGGAACACCAGUGGCGAAGGCGGCUUACUGGACUGUAACUGACGUUGAGGCUCGAAAGCGUGGGGAGCAAACAGGAUUAGAUACCCGGGUAGUC
rnacentral:rRNA from 1 species